CCGACCUUCUCUCGUGUUUUUUUUUCGUGUUCCCCUCCUUAUCUCCGACUCCCCACCCCCCCCCCCCCCCGGGCGGCGGCGGAGCUCCGGCGAGCCGAGGGAUCCGGGAAAUUCGUCGAUCCGGCACCGUGCCGGGGAGGUUAGGUAGUCGGGGAUGGCGGAGAUUGGAGAACGGCGGCGGCUACGGCGGCCGCUCGCUCGGAGAGUCCGCCAUGGUUCCGCUGGCGCGUUGAUCCCCCGGCAGCUCGGCACUAAGAAUGGUCGCCACGGACGCGCGCGCCAUGUCCUCCCCGGCGCCAUGGGCUCUGCAUCGGUGGCUAUGACUAUGUCAAAGGUGGUGUGUUCUUAGCUGCUGCUCUUCAUAGGUUCAGAAACUUCAGAGAGCAGCUGUUUUCCUUUUCCCCCCAUUUUGUUUGGUCAGUGCUGCAUUCAUGGAUCGCUGCAUGUGUUUCUCUAUGCGUUUGCGUUUCUCUGAACAUUUUGAGAAGGUUGUUUAUGCAGGAUUUGAAGGGUAGCUGCACGUAUUAGUUGGAUCUUAGUGCGUAUGUUGCUCUGCUGGGAUUGAUCCAUUUUUUCAGUCCAUUCCAUCAAUUGGUGGAGUGCAGUUCAGAUCCUUCAAUCCGUACAAUGAAUGCAACCGGCACUUCACCCGCAAUUUCGUCUAUCAUCCUGCAAGAAUUCAAUAAGAAUUUAGUCCUCUGAUGUGAUGGAACAUGCUGACCUUCUGUUCAUCUAAGCAUGGAUCAACUUACGGUACAACGGCAGCAUCCUUGAUAUCAGGGUGUGUGAUGAGAAGAGCUUCAAGUUCCGCAGGAGCCAACCGCCCUUGUCGAUGGUGUUCUUCGUGGACUCCGGGUCAUUCAGAUAACCUGCAAAUCACAGGCACGAUCACUGGCAUGAAAUGGCUGCAUUCAGAGUUUCAGACAUUCAUGUGCACUUGUUCACUCGUAUAAGCCAGAGCAUAUACCAGUGCAGUCUCCAUUACAGUUUUCAGUAAGAUAAAAAAAAAAGAGUCUAAGUAGAUAAAUUUUUCGAUGGAAACACUACUGUGUGUUAGCGAUGGUCAACUUCAGGUUUAAAAUUUGAUAGCCAUAUGCUAACCUGUUGAUAAGGUCGCAAACUAGACUAACCACCAUGAACUAUUUCCGGGCAUUUAUCUUGCCAUGAAUUGUUGGAUAAUUCUUAGAAAUAUCUCUCCUCAGGUCACAUUCAGACAGCUGGCGCCGAAAGCACCAUAGUAUUCAUCUCCUAGUGCUUCGCUAUACUAGUCUAUUCAUAAUCGUAAUGUAGAUUAUUUAUAGCUUUGAAAUAGGACAGA